UUACCAUGCAGUCGAGCGGUAAGGCUCCUUCGGGAGUACACGAGCGGCGAACGGGUGAGUAACACGUGAGUAAUCUGCCCUUCACUUCGGGAUAACCGCCGGAAACGGUGGCUAAUACCGAAUACGACCAAUCUUCGCAUGAGGUGUUGGUGGAAAGUUUUUUCGGUGAAGGAUGUGCUCGCGGCCUAUCAGCUUGUUGGUGAGGUAACGGCUCACCAAGGCUUCGACGGGUAGCCGGCCUGAGAGGGUGACCGGCCACACUGGGACUGAGACACGGCCCAGACUCCUACGGGAGGCAGCAGUGGGGAAUAUUGGACAAUGGGCGAAAGCCUGAUCCAGCAACGCCGCGUGAGGGAUGACGGCCUUCGGGUUGUAAACCUCUUUCAGUACCGACGAAGCGCCUUUAACGGUGGUGACGGUAGGUACAGAAGAAGGACCGGCCAACUACGUGCCAGCAGCCGCGGUAAUACGUAGGGUCCGAGCGUUGUCCGGAAUUAUUGGGCGUAAAGGGCUCGUAGGCGGUCUGUUGCGUCGGGAGUGAAAAUUCACAGCUUAACUGUGAACUUGCUUCCGAUACGGGCAGACUUGAGGUAUUCAGGGGAGAACGGAAUUCCUGGUGUAGCGGUGAAAUGCGCAGAUAUCAGGAGGAACACCGGUGGCGAAGGCGGUUCUCUGGGAAUAUCCUGACGCUGAGGAGCGAAAGUGUGGGGAGCGAACAGGAUUAGAUACCCUGGUAGUCCACACCGUAAACGUUGGGCGCUAGGUGUGGGGUCCAUUCCACGGAUUCCGUGCCGCAGCUAACGCA
rnacentral:rRNA from 1 species